GUCAACAAUGUAUUAGUUUGUGAUUAGGUCUAGUUUAUGGUGAACCACAAGUGGUAGGUCAAUCAUAUUUGGUAUGCAGUUGUAUAAGCAUUGGUAUAUCUCUUUUCCAUGGAGAUAAUUUGGCUCCAUCCCUUAGUCAUGGUCUAUUGACUUCGAAAAUUUUUGUAAGUUAUCAUGUAUUAGUUUGUGUUUAGGUCAGUUCAAGAGGAACCGUUAGUGGUAGGUCAAUGUUAAUUGGUAUUCAGUUGUAUAAGCAUUGGCACAUAUCAUUUCCAUGGCAAAUAUGUGGCCUCGCCCC
rnacentral:lncRNA from 1 species